AUUUUGGAUUGUUUAUUGGAAUCCCCAUCUAUUGAGUAUUUAUUUUCUAUUCCACACGCAGGAAGGUUUCUGUAGGCCGUAACCUGGGCUCAGACCUCCAUUCUGCUUUCAGGCUCUUUGGGGUGAAUUGAAGGCCGACUGGAGACCAGCACGGAUCGGCCUGAUUGAUGUCAAAUCCCAAAAAGUCAGCUCAGUGCGUCCACAGGCUAAAUGUUUCCACAGUACUGGGAAAGUAUGCAGCGGGAGCCAUAUGAGGAGAGACCCCCUGCGCUUGUUCACUUGCACGGUGAGAUGGGACCACUUAACGUAACAACUGACAAAACGCCCAUCUUCACGCUUCAACUGCCUUGUAUGCCUGACCUUUUCACGGAGCGGCCGACCAGAAACACCCGCGUCCUUCAUUCCUCCAUUCACUCAC